rnacentral:rRNA from 1 species
UACGUAGGGUGCGAGCGUUGUCCGGAAUUAUUGGGCGUAAAGAGCUCGUAGGCGGUCUGUCGCGUCGGUCGUGAAAACCUGCAGCUUAACUGUGGGCGUGCGGUCGAUACGGGCAUGACUGGAGUUCGGCAGGGGGAGACUGGAAUUCCUGGUGUAGCAGUGAAAUGCGUAGAUAUCAGGAGGAAUACCGAUGGCGAAGGCAGGUCUCUGGGCUGACACUGACGCUCAUGCACGAAAGCGUGGGGAGCAAACAGG